rnacentral:rRNA from 1 species
AAACCAGCACCUCAAGUGGUCAGGAUGAUUAUUGGGCCUAAAGCAUCCGUAGCCGGCUCUGUAAGUUUUCGGUUAAAUCCAUUAGCUCAACUAAUGGGCCGCCGAAAAUACUGUAGAACUAGGGAGUGGGAGAGGUAGACGGUAUUCGGUAGGAAGGGGUAAAAUCCUUUGAUCUAUUGAGGACCACCUGUGGCGAAGGCGGUCUACCAGAACACGUUCGACGGUGAGGGAUGAAAGCUGGGGGAGCAAACCGGAUUAGAAACCCCUGUAGUCC